GCCCGGGCAGACAAUAAGCGCUAGGCAGCCUGCGGGCGUGGGUUGAGCGGCUAGCCCCGUCCCCAGAGUGGGGGCGAGUCCACCCAGGGGGCGCCCAGCUCGGGGACACUAAGGGGGAGACCUGGCGCGCGACCCAUAGUCAUCCAGCAGUGAAAGAAACUCACCCUCGGGUCCCCAGCUACACACACACACACACACACACACACACACACACACACACACACACACACACAGUCGCACCCGGGACAGAAGGAGGAGGGAAACUUGGCACGGGGGGAGCUGGAUCUUUGUAGCCCCGCACUGACCGCCGCCGCUAACGGACCGGCGCGCCACCCCCUAGGUCAGGGCGCCCCUAAAGUCAGUAGGGAAAGUGCCCAACUGGCCCUCCCAUCUCCCCCUCCAAAUUAAACCCCUCCUCCCCGCGCGCAGUGGCCUGUCACCGACCUUAAACUUUCUCAACGACCCUAUUUCGGGAUGCUUAGGUUGUGGGGGCCGUUUGGGAUCCAGGGUGUCAUCUGGGAAAGGUGCCCUUGAGCACACUCCUACCUCGCCCCUGCUCUUAAAACAUAUACUAAAUUCCUGGGAGGUUUUGUAGAGUUCAGGACAACAUUCCCCAGCUAACCUUUGGGUCGCGGUGUACGGAAAGGUUAAAUCUAUGGGGUGCUGGGGACCGUGGCGGGAUGAAAACACUGUCCUGUCCCGGGACACCCCUGUCGCUUUCGCUCUGAGUUUUCCCUGGACUGGAGGUAACUCCAAGAUAACGCGUCGGGAAGGAGCAGGGUACCGACUAGGGACCCAGAGAGAUCGCUGUUUCUCCACCCCCAAGUCUCACACACACCCCUUAGUCGCUCCCUCCAAAUGGUUAUCACAACUGUGUACAAACUGAUAGGGCCCUUAGCGGGCCAAGGACUGGAAACGAACAUUGGCGGGGUUAUCAGCGCCGAUCUGUCAGCAGCGAGUCGUGCACUGCUCGUCCCAGGCAGCGGUGAUAUACGUCUUGUUCCUGCGGGCUCACAGAAAGGAUUCCUUCCGACAAGCUGGACACUGAAAGAUAGUUGAACAGGAGGAACUCUCUUGUGGGAAUGGAUUUUUACACACUCACUCCAGCGCGGCUGCCUUUCUGAAAGGCUGAAGAUAGAAAACUCUGGAACGGAGAGACUAGAGGCUGGAGUGGGAUUCGGAGGCUUUAAAUUUUAACCAGUGUUCGAUCGAAAGUUACAACCACGAGAGACUGGCACGGGCCGGCCCAAGUCCCACCGCAGGUUCCAACGGCUUGCUUGGGGUGGUUCGCUUGUUAUCUGGGCCACCCAAUGACCGACGAAAGAUCUUCCCUCCCCACGUCUCCCAUCGCCGCUUUAAACCAAAUAAAUUUAGCUAUUAAGGGCCAAGAUGUCUGACAAAAGAUCGAAAGGUGUCUCUCUGGGAUCGCUUGAAGAAGCAGAGCUGGCGGCUCUCGAAUCCCGAUAAAGAAAUUCCACGCCGGCGCCGGGCUCCCUCCCCAGCCUGCUUGCGUCCGACACCCUGAGAUCAGGACCUCAAAGGUCCAUUGGGACCUGUGGCUACAAUUGAGGCGGUGUCUAGGUGUCUAGGGUCCCGGGCCUGGAGAUGCUAGGCCUUGGGAGGGGGUCACUGAGGUCCCUGGAGCAGUGGGACCUAAAACAUUCCUGAGAAGCUUGCGGAAGAACCAAGGCCAUGGAAACCCAAAGUAGCUUUAAAUUUGCCCCUCCCCCACCCCUUUUCCUUUGAGACAAAUUCUCUCAUGAUGUAUGGCAGGCUGGCCUCGAACUCAUGAUCCUCAAACCUCAGGCCUGUGGAGUAUUGGAAUUACAAGGGUAGUCUUGUCCUGUCGUUUUUAUUAUUUUCUAAUACUAAGUAAUAAAUGCAAAGCCUAAUCA